rnacentral:misc_RNA from 1 species
AACUGCAAAAUACGAAGUUCAGAAAAGCAGGUGGGCUUGCUUGGAUGGUGUCAAAACGUGUCUGCAAAGUUUGACAGUUCAUCGUACGCGUUAGAAGUUGUCCUCGAGAAUAGAAAUAAAGAAAUAUAUGAUGGAAGAGAAUAACGUUAAAACCGAUCAGAACAAUCAAGAUGACUCAGAUUCUGAGAUAGAUGAGGUUGAGCCUAGGCUUAAAUAUGUUAGAAUGCGAAAUGAUUUGCAACAUAUUUUACAAAAUGAUGCCGCCAGUUGUAUAGCUGUCCACCCUAAGUUUCUUUGUUUGGGAUCGCAUUGGGGUAUGAUACAUCUAUUGGAUCAUCAGGGCAAUAACAUACAAUCUAAAAGUCUUCAAGCACAUACAGUCGCUGUCAAUCAAAUUUCCAUAGAUCACAAUGGUGAUUUUAUUGCAUCUUGCAGCGAUGAUGGCAAAGUAUUUAUUUACGGUUUGUACAGUGCUGAAAAUAAUCACAAUUUAAAUCUUGGUAGGCUCGUCAAGAGUAUCGCUAUUGAUCCUAACUAUUAUAAAAGCGGUAGCGGAAGGAAAUUUAUUACAGGAGAUGAUAAACUGAUUUUAUAUGAAAAAACAUUUUUAUCCAGAAUAAAGCCAACUGUUCUCUCUGAAGCGAUAGGUGGAGUAAGGUCUGUAGCAUGGGCCGGCCAAUUUAUCGCUUGGGCAUCAGACACGGGUGUUAGGGUUUAUGAUUUAAAUGCUAGAUGUUCGUUAGGUCUCAUUAAGUGGACUAAAACAGAUGAAGCGCUACCAGAACACUAUAGAUGUAAUCUUCGUUGGUCAGAUGAUCGAACAUUACUGAUCGGAUGGGUGGAUAUAGUGCGUAUCUGCCAGAUAAAAAAGAGAUCGAUGCAAGAAAUGGUUAAUAGAGAUUUACCUGAAUUCGUAGUUGAUCCAGUUUCAACGUUUCAAGUGGAUUUUUAUAUAUCUGGUAUCGCCCCUUUAGACAAUCAAUUGAUAUUAUUAGGAUGUUUAAAAGAAUUAGAUAAAGAUAGUAAAAGUCAAAGACCAACUUUGCACAUUGUUGAACCAAAGUGCGAAGAUUUCUCUGUGAUUUGUGCUAAUUCAUUGACUUUAAGAGGCUAUAAAGAGUACAGCUGUAAUGACUAUCAUUUAGAUUGUUUGACUAGCGAAAAUAGGUAUUUUAUUGUAAGUCCGAAAGACGUAGUUGUAGCGAGUUUGUAUGAUUGCGAUGACAGGGUUGAAUGGUUAAUAAGUCAUGGAAAAUUUGAACAAGCGUUAGAAGCUGUUAGUGCUAGUAAUGGAAAAGAAUGUAAACGACAUACUUUAGUUGACGUGGGUCGUGUAUAUUUAGAUCAUCUGUUGGCUCAUGAAAAGUACGACGAGGCUGGAAAAUUAUGCCUAAAAGUUUUAGGCCGGGAUAAAAAACUAUGGGAAGAAGAGGUUUAUAAAUUUGCAAUGGUUCAUCAACUGAGAUCUAUUUCUUCUUAUCUUCCAAGAGGUGAUGUAAGUCUAGAUCCAUUAAUUUACGAAAUGGUUUUAUACGAAUAUUUAAAAAUGGAUCCAGAUGGUUUUCUCGAGUUAGUUAAAGAAUGGUCGCCAACAUUAUACACGGUAGCAGCUGUCGUGAACGGUGUUUUGGAGCAUCUAUUAGUUCACAAACAACGACAAAAUGUUCUUUUGGAAGCAUUAGCGAUUUUAUAUAUUCAUGAUGGGAAAUAUGAUAAAGCGUUGGCGAUGUAUUUAAAACUAAGACACAAGGAUGUCUUUCAUUUAAUACAAAAAUAUCAACUGUAUAAUUCUGUAUAUGAUAUGAUAGAAGAAUUAAUGGAUUCGGAUGCGGAACGUGCAAUACAAUUUCUUUUGAAAAAAGAUAACGAUCAAUUUAGAGUGCCACCUGAAAUAGUUGUUCGUAAAUUGCAACAAAAACAUCUUUACUUAUAUAUGUAUCUAGACGCUUUAGAUAAAAUAGACACAAAAGAUUCCAAAGGGAAAUAUCACGGAUUACUGGUACAACUUUAUGCGGAAUACUCCAGAGAUAAACUACUUCCACUUUUACGUCGUUCCGAUAAUUAUUUAAUACAAGAAGCAUUAGAUAUUUGUAGUCAACGAAAGUUUUAUCCAGAGAUGGUAUAUCUUUUAGGAAGAAUAGGCAAUAUAUCCGAAGCUUUGGCUCUUAUGACUAGAGAAUUAGACGAUAUGGAAAGUGCUAUUGCUUUUUGUCAAGAGCACGACGAUGAAGAAUUAUGGAAUGAUUUAGUUAAUUAUUCGUUGGACAAACCAAAGGCUAUCACAUUUCUUCUACAAAACAUUGGAACGUACGUUGAUCCUAGACUGAUGGUACAGAGAAUAAAUCCAUCAUUAGAAAUACCUGGAUUAAAAAAAGCUUUAGUUAAAAUGAUGUGUGAUUAUAAUCUGCAAGUGUCUAUACAAGAAGGAUGCAAGAAAAUUUUAUCUAAUGAUUAUUUUAAUCUUCACGAGAGAUUGGUUCGUUGUCAUCAGAAAGGUAUACUUAUAAACGAUGAUCAAUUGUGCGGAGCGUGCCAUAGAAAGAUUAUUAUGGGAGAAUCCAAAAAUUUAGUAAUAUUUUAUUGUAAGCAUUCAUUCCACGAGGACUGUUUACCAAACUUCAAAUUAGUAGAAAAUUGUGUAAUUUGUAAUUCACAAAAAGAAACAUCACCAGGUAGGAAAUGAUACAGGAAUGCACUUCUAUAUUGGGAAAUUAAAGUUAAUAUUUAAUUAGUAAAGAAAAUUGUGUGUGAAUAAACAAGACAAUUGAAUUGAUUUGUUGCUGAACAGAUGACUUUUGAUCCACAAUAAUAAUCAUCAAUAUUCAUGCAGAAUUUUGUAUUAAUUAAAAAGUCAUAUUUUAGAGGACCGAUAGUCUCUAUGGAAAUGCUACAAUUUCCAAUUGAUUCUGUCUGCGUUAUUAUUUUAUCUUUGAGACAAAUCAACAAAGUUUCUUUAAAGCACAAUACUGCUAGUUUGCUAUGAUCUAACAAAAUAUAAAUAACAAGAGAUUUAAUUUUCUAAUUAAUAUUUUUUUUCUAUAUUAUAUAUCUAAUUGUAUAUUAUUAACAAAGCGUUUCUAUGUAAAAUAAAUCUUAUUUAAUUUCACGUAUAUAAAUGUAUAUGCAAAUAAAUAUUUUACAAUUAUAUAUAACAUACAAAAAAAGAAAA